rnacentral:rRNA from 1 species
AGAGUUUGAUUCAUGGCUCAGGAUGAACGCUAGCGGCAGGCUUAACACAUGCAAGUCGAGGGGUAUAUUUCUUCGGAGAUAGAGACCGGCGCACGGGUGCGUAACGCGUAUGCAAUCUACCUUUUACAGAGGGAUAGCCCAGAGAAAUUUGGAUUAAUACCUCAUAGUAUAGCUGUCACCGCAUGGUAGCUACUAUUAAAGUCACAACGGUAAAAGAUGAGCAUGCGUCCCAUUAGCUAGUUGGUAAGGUAACGGCUUACCAAGGCUACGAUGGGUAGGGGUCCUGAGAGGGAGAUCCCCCACACUGGUACUGAGACACGGACCAGACUCCUACGGGAGGCAGCAGUGAGGAAUAUUGGACAAUGGGCGCAAGCCUGAUCCAGCCAUGCCGCGUGCAGGAUGACGGUCCUAUGGAUUGUAAACUGCUUUUAUACGAGAAGAAACACUACUUCGUGAAGUAGCUGACGGUAUCGUAGAAUAGAUCGC